UACAGAGGUCUCAAGCGUUGUUCGGAUUCAUUGGGCGUAAAGCGCGCGCAGGCGGCUCGGAAAGUCGGGUGUGAAAACUCGGGGCUCAACCCCGGGCGUGCAUCCGAUACUGCCGGGCUUGAGGCAGGUAGGGGAGAUCGGAAUUCCUGGUGUAGCGGUGAAAUGCGCAGAUAUCAGGAGGAACACCGGUGGCGAAGGCGGAUCUCUGGGCCUGUCCUGACGCUGAGGCGCGAAAGCUAGGGGAGCGAACAGG
rnacentral:rRNA from 1 species